AGAAAAAAACCCCCAAGGGAUUCAAGAACAACGCCAUGGGUGUUUCUUGUUGAGAAAAUUGCCGUAGCCGUAGCGAAAUAGAAAAUCACAGUGCCCCAUUUUUUGCAACACUGUGACCAUCACAAGUCCAGCAAUGGCAGCUAGGUCAUAGGCUAAUCUACCGCAUUGUUGGUUGGUUAGCCGCUACGCACAUGUGCAGAAAUUAGGCCUAUUAGGAACUCUGAACUCAUAAAACGUGACAUGUGAUCGUUUUUCGUUUUUGCCUUGUAAUUACCAAGCUCCAUUUCUUUUCCCCCCUUUUUUAAUACUAAGAGAAUACAUUCUCUGAACGACGAGAUGUCUCGUCGACGAAAUGUCGGCCAUGCUAGUCUUGACACUGCUGCUAAUAUCGUGUAGAAUUUUAAGAGUAUUUAUUUUAAGCCUGACCGAGUUAUAGCCUUAUCUAAUCUAUCUAAAUGAGUCUAACAUUCGAAGCGCCGUGCUUUUCUGCUUGCAACAAGCCGUAGCUUGCAACGUUGUACAGAGAUGCAAUGUUACAAUGUGUAGGAAUAUGCCGUUGAGCUACAAUCAGCUACAAUGUAAUUUUGCAUGUGGCUCAGGAAGGAUGAGAGACGCAAACGCGAAGUACGGAAGCCCGAGUCAUGUGUAGGCUCGAGUAUUUAUUCAUUUAUUAAUCCCGAGGGAAAUUAAUUUGUCCCAAAUAAAAAUCAGACCCGGAAAUUGUUGCAUAAUAAUAAGAAAAUUCUAUAGUUGUGGUCUGGUGUUGUCAAAGACAACGACAUUCCAAAUUCGGAUUUAAAAAUAAACAUUCAAUUAAUUUGCGAUUGACUCGGCACACGGAAAACUUUCUCCUGCUGAUUUUGACUCUAUUUUUCAUCUCUGGUUUACUCGACUAUUAUUGGAAACCUUCCACGGUUGCUCUGAAGUACUAUAGCCUACCUUCAAAAUAUUUGCAGACAAUUUUCAUAUUUUUCUCGAAUCUAGACCAAAGACCUAUCUGCUUCUGUGAGAACUCUUACAGUAUGGCAUAUGAGCUUUGGGGUCCACUCUCUGACUUUGAGAACUGUCUGGGCCUAUGUGGACUCUGGGGAAGCCAACCUGUAAUUGAUCCAGUGAAGACCACCCUGGACUUUGGUUUUGAGCUCUGCCCCGACACCCCUGCCAAAGAGAAUGACUCUGGCGAUGCGAAGGAGAUUGUCUUUGAUGGCACUGUGACUCGCCCUGCAUCAGCACCAGUGGCCAUCCAAGAGGAAGUCAACUUGUCAAUUGACCUAACCUGCUUUGUCAACUGGGCCUGCAGUCUCUCAGACGACCACUUCACCAACCUGUGCUUGUGGGCAGCAGCUCAUCAGGGAAGCCAAGAAAUCCUGGACUACAUUCUCUAAUCAUGAACUACAACAGAGAACAUUAUUUUUACACAUGAAAUCAAAAAAAAAAAUAUAUAUAUAUAUAUAUUUUUACCUGUGGUGGGUUAAUAAAAUUGAUCCAUUCAACUUA